rfam:Myotis davidii contig96422, whole genome shotgun sequence.
GGCAGUUCUCAAGUGACGCAUCCUGGAAUUGGGCUCCCUCCUCUCUGGUUCUGGGUGCAUCACCCAAGAACCGCA